rnacentral:ncRNA from 2 species
GCCACGGGUCGUGACUGGCGCGCUGGGAUGGGAUUGACCAUCGGGGAGCGGCCCGUGAACUGUGUGCCGUGCGCCUGGGCCGUCCCG